rnacentral:rRNA from 1 species
GAGUUUGAUCAUGGCUCAGAUUGAACGCUGGCGGCAGGCCUAACACAUGCAAGUCGAGCGGAAACGAGUUAACUGAACCUUCGGGGAACGUUAGCGGCGUCGAGCGGCGGACGGGUGAGUAAUGCCUGGGAAAUUGCCCUGAUGUGGGGGAUAACCAUUGGAAACGAUGGCUAAUACCGCAUAAUAGCUUCGGCUCAAAGAGGGGGACCUUCGGGCCUCUCGCGUCAGGAUAUGCCCAGGUGGGAUUAGCUAGUUGGUGAGGUAAUGGCUCACCAAGGCGACGAUCCCUAGCUGGUCUGAGAGGAUGAUCAGCCACACUGGAACUGAGACACGGUCCAGACUCCUACGGGAGGCAGCAGUGGGGAAUAUUGCACAAUGGGCGCAAGCCUGAUGCAGCCAUGCCGCGUGUGUGAAGAAGGCCUUCGGGUUGUAAAGCACUUUCAGCAGUGAGGAAGGUGGUGUCGUUAAUAGCGGCAUCAUUUGACGUUAGCUGCAGAAGAAGCACCGGCUAACUCCGUGCCAGCAGCCGCGGUAAUACGGAGGGUGCGAGCGUUAAUCGGAAUUACUGGGCGUAAAGCGCAUGCAGGUGGUUAGUUAAGUCAGAUGUGAAAGCCCGGGGCUCAGCCUCGGAACUGCAUUUGAAACUGGCUAACUAGAGUACUGU